GGUCAUGUGGCCUAGUGGUCAUGGCAUCUGCCCGGUAAGCGGAAGGUCGUGAGUUCGAUUCCCAUCCCUUGACACU
rnacentral:tRNA from 1 species